rnacentral:rRNA from 1 species
UACGAAGGGUGCAAGCGUUAAUCGGAAUUACUGGGCGUAAAGCGUGCGUAGGUGGUUUUUUAAGUCUGCUGUGAAAGCCCUGGGCUCAACCUGGGAAUGGCGGUGGAUACUGAAAAGCUAGAGUGCGGUAGAGGGGGGUGGAAUUCCCGGUGUAGCGGUGAAAUGCGUAGAGAUCGGGAGGAACAUCAGUGGCGAAGGCGGCGCCCUGGCCUGUUUCUUGACGCUGAGGCGCGAAAGCUAGGGGAGCAAACGGG